GUGGGCUCCACCCAGUUGGAGCUUCCAGGCUGCUUUGUUUACCGAAUCAAGCCUGGGCAAUGGCGGGCGCCCCUCCCCCAGCCUCGCUGCCGCCUUGCAGUUUGAUCUCAGACUGCUGUGCUAGCAAUCAGCGAGACUCCGUGGGCGUAGGACCCUCCGAGCCAGGUGCAGGACAUAAUCUCGUGAUGAGCCUUUUUUAAGCCUGUCGGAAAAGCGCAGUAUUCAGGUGGGAGUGACCCGAUUUUCCAGGUGCCGUCCGACACCCCUUUCUUUGACUAGGAAAGGGAACUCCCUUACCCCUUGGGCUUCCUGAGUGAGGCAAUGCCUCGCCCUGCUUCGGCUCGCGCACGGGGUGCGCACCCACUGACCUGCACCCGCUGUCUGGCACUCCCUGGUGAGAUGAACCCGGUACCUCAGAUGGAAAUGCUGAAAUCACCCGUCUUCUUCGUCGCUCACGCUGGGAGCUGCAGACAGGAGCUGUUCCUAUGUGGCCAUCUUGGCUCCUCCCUAUGAACUCUUUUUUACAGGUUUCUGGUAGUGUAGGAAGACAUUAUGCAGUUUUGAAAAAUAAAGCCAGCUGAGAGUGAGGCUGAUGCCGAGUCAUGGGAGGCAAUGAAUAUUACAGUGAAAUAUAAUUUAGCUUGGCCUAUUUCCUGAUUUUAUUAAUUAAUCACUGAACUCUUCAUCUGGGCCUGGAUGUUAUUAUUUUAGCAUCCUUCUGAGAACCAACCCUGGGCAGCCAGUAGCAAUUAUUUCUAUUUUGUCCCUUAUGCUACUAACUGCCAGCUUUGGAUUAAUAUCACUGUCUCACAUUGCAGAUGAAGAAACUGAGGCUUAGAAAGUUGAUCUUGCCAUUAAUGCUACUGUGAUGAGUUUCCUUUUAGAAGAUGAAAAAUUUGAGGCUGAGAUACAAUUAGGAUAUUUAGGCAGAAUUCCAGGCAUCCUGAAUCUAGUGAUCUUCCUACUUAUCACAGAAAAUUUCUGAGGCAGGUGGAAAUUUACCUUUAUUUUUGACACAAGAUUAAAAGCAAGAAAAAAUAUGCCAAUACCACUUUUUUAUUUCCUCUGUAGCCCAAUGCCUUAACUAGGACAUUAAAAGUUAGAACAAAAGUUCUGACUUUAAUUUUACCAUUUACAUUUCGUUCUUACUUCAUAUUUGUUCAGAACAAAAGUUUAUCUUGAGAUUUUCCUACUAAUAUUGUGUUCUUAAGACUCAUUAUUUUUCCAUGCAUUUUCUUUUAAAUUUUAAGCAAACAAAAGAAUAGAUAUCCCCAGGAGCUGCAGCUUCAAACGCGAUAUUCCAUAACUUAAAAAUAUCACAGUCUAGUUGUAUCUCCUAUACUCCAAAUAUUUAUCUUAAGGGCAAUCUUUCUUUCCCUUGCAAUUCAAGGCCAGGUUUUAAUUUGGCAGACAACCAAACCCUCCCAUGUGACUUUGAUCUCUGAAUGAUUGACUGUCUUUAAAAGGCUCGUGUUUUAUUAGAGUGUGUGAUUAAAACAUGAAGACAAGUGGUGAAAUCAUGGCCAGAGAGACCAUCUGAAUAUAUGGUCCACUCUCAGGAGACAACUGAUUUGAGGUCUAUUAAAGUGAAAUUAUGGUGGCCCAUAAUGGAGAGCCGUUGUGCUAUGAGCCAUGUCACAGAGCAUUUCCAUAUGUACUGCAACACUGUAUGCGUGAAGGUUCACACUGACAGAUGUGUGCACCAGUCCAUCUGCCCAGACGGGUUGCUCCUACCCAUAGAACUAACUCCUACCUUGUCUUUAAUAAAUGACCAACUCUUCAUUUCUACCUUAUAGCCUCCUCUUGUCCCCAGGAUGGUGUAUUUUCUUUCUCU
rnacentral:lncRNA from 10 species